rnacentral:lncRNA from 1 species
GUCCAUCUCCAGGCAGUAGAGUGGUGCUGCAUCUAAUUCAAGGCUGUACUCAAGGUCACCAACAUAGAACUUAGACUAUUUGGGAUUGGAGGAAAGUCCAAGAUAGUCUUGCCGUUGGAGGGACAGUGGCAGAGUGGCAGCCAAGGGACCGGCCCUGAGACGUGGCUGUUUUGUUUCCUGGCGAAGAGGUGUUCUAGUGGCUCUUGGCUUGAGGUGUGAGGCCUGCCCUGAAGGAGCAGGAGUCCACCAGGAAGGGCCACUUUGAGAGUGAAGCUCACCUAGGUCAGCAGCAGAAGGAGCACGGGCCACAACCAAGGUCUGCAUAACGCAACGAUGCAUCAAGUCACGAGGAGGACCAGCCACACCUGUGGCUUCAUGGAGUAUUUGCUUCGUUCGGGAAAGGGGGAGGAAGCUUGAGUCUGGUUUACAGAUGUCUCUGCUGACACCAGUUGGACAUGGACCACUGAGGUCCCAGCAGAGCCAUAUUCCCUGUGGUUGGAGGAUAAGGGAGAUCCUCCCAGUGGACAGCACUUUGAACAGUCCACCUUGUGGUCCAUUUUGCCUGGAAGGAGAGAAGACCUGAGGACUGACAGCAAGGAGGUUUGGGAAGAGUCAGCAUUUUACAAAUUGUUGAUGCUCAAUUACUAUCUAUUGACUCGAUUUUAAUGAGUGUUAUGGAGAUGUUUUCUGCUAUAGUUGAUCUGAAAUAAAAGUCAUAGUCAAGAUCAUUUGAAGGCUUUCAGAUUACAGCCCACCUCCAUCAAGGAAACGUCGCUUACCAUACAGACGACCUUACUGUUUAUACGUCAGAGUCUUAACGUUUUUAACAUUUCAGAAGACUAAUACCGACCAAUUUCCAUGCGGAAAUAUCCAGCAAGAUCAAACGGGGGUAGGAAAACAAAAGCUAAUUUCAUUCAGAAGAUUCUGUCUUCUCUCAGCCUUGGUGGUUAUUUCCUGCUUGAGUCACUUCCCCUGAGAGGGUGACACUGGACAGCAGCCUCGAAAGCCGGUUCUGGCGUCUGCUGCAUACUGUGUCCAUUCCUGUGCUGCCCGCAGACUAUGAAACCCUCAAUCACCAUGGUGAAUUUCCACUUGGAAGAUCUGUUGUCCUGUCUUCACUGUGAUGUCUUGGCAUCACUCGAGGUACUGUCAUCAUAGGAAAACACCUGGAUUUGGAUUCAAAGACAAAGCUGUUUAUAAAACCAGUUGUGCAAUUACUUCUGUUGCCUUGUCCCUAUCUAUAACAGCUGUUCUGGAAAGUACUGCAUUUGCUUCCCACAUUUAAUUAGUCACUAAUGACCAACACGGGCUAUAAAUGAGUUCUUUGCCCAUUGUUGAUGAUUCAGGUCAAGCACGGCAGAUGGUCCCUUAUGCUGAAUUCUCCAACAAGCAUUUAUUACGAGAAGAUGGUCGAAUCAAGUUCAAUAGAACAGCCAAGAGCAAACAGUUUGCAGAUGGCCAGGUUCCUAGCAUGGGGAUAUGGUUCCUAGCCUUCCUUUUGAAGCAGACUUUCCUUUCUGCUUCCUUCUUACUCCUUCCUUCUUUUCUUUUCUUUCUUUCUUUCUUUCUUUUUUUUUUUUUUUUGCUCUUUUUAUUUCCUAUGUUCCUACCCAAGGGGAGUAUGCCAAAAAAAAAAAAAGAAAGAAACUAUGAUUUCUUUCACCUUCCCAGGUGAAAUUGACAAUAAAUUUAGGGAGAUAAAACCUGA